UUACCUCCUAUAAAAGCCGCCCGCCUCCGUCUCUCCCCCGCACUCCAUCUCCAUCGCCUCGCCGCCGUUCCCCGCAACCUGUCGACCCAAUCUCAAUCUCACAUCACCUACAUCGUCCUCUCCAGAUCUUACGCCCGCCCCGCCCGAGCUGGUAGCGGCAACUCUUCUGCUGCAGUCCGCCAAAAGGAAAUGACGAAGCUCUACAAAAUCCACUCCCAUGCCCACAUCCAAGCCCUGCAGGCCCGCGCCGAUGAGCUGGGCCACUCCAAUAAGUCCAUGCUUGUGAAUGUUGUCUCUCUGGAGUCGGUGCGCAUAGCGCGCGAGUCGUAUGCACUCCUCCGCCCGCUGAUCAAGGAUUCGUGGAUCUGGGCAUGCUCGCGGAGCUGGAAAACCUCUCGGUCGUGGCAGGCUUGUCGCUGGAAAUCCAAAAGCUCGAGCAUGAUGUGUUACCCCAGCUCAUGGUUCAGGAGGCCAAGCUGGAACGGGGCGCCCUGGAAGCCCUCCUGCUCAUGCAGAACUCAGCAAUUACGCUCUUAGAUCUGAGGAAGUGCUUUAUCUUAGCCUUGGGCGUAUUGCUUGCCGAUGAGGAUCUGGUCUCAGCCCGAGUCAAAAAGCUGAGCAUAAUGCUAAAGGAUACUGCUGAUGAUGUACUCAAAGGUAAUUGCGACAUUGUCUGGCUUCAGGAGCGUGCCCCGUUGCUGCUCCAGCUGGUCACCGAUGUGUUGGAGACCCCGGUUUGUUUAUGUGAUCCUGAUGAGUUUCUGUGAUGAGUAGACUUAUCAGCCAGCUCGAGGCUGUUGUGAUGAGUAUUUCUUAGGGGCGUGGCAAACAGUUUAGAAUCAACCCUUUAUGUUUGGAUGUGUUAUUAAUGGAUUUUAAAUGAUAUGUAUCUUGUGUAGUGUUUUCUCAUUCUGUGCUAGUAGGGUACAACUUGCAAUUACUUUCAGUUCCUAAAUACAAGUCUUUUAAGAGGUUUCACUAAAAGACUACUUAGGGAUGAAUGAAUAUAGACAUACUUUAGAACGUGGAUUCACUCAUUUUGCUCCGUACGUGAGUUUCCUAGUGAAAUCUCUUCUUAAAAGACUUGUAUAUUUAGGAAGGAACGGAGGGAGUAGUGCUUAUCUGUGAGUGUCCAUGAUUAAAGCUUUGCAAAUACCAUAAACAAAGCAUCACCUUGUACUUGAAGCUGAAUUGAAUUGAAAUGUGAUUAGCCUUCCACUAGCCAGCCAAGGAGGAAGGAGCCCACCGUUCCAUCCUCCCUAUCUCCAUUUCCUCUGUCGCGCCCACCUCCCUCUUCUCCUGACACGCAGAUCUAGUUGAGGACUGCGGCAGAUCUAGUUGCGUCCGUCGUCGCGCAACAACCCUAGCCACGACGAGCUCCACCACCGUGCGGUCCGGGAGCCACGCCGCAGCAGCGCACCCCCUGGCCACAGCCCUAUGCGCAGACGUACAACGCCUCCCUCCGGCCCAGAACGCAAUCCGACGCCGCAGUCCGCGCCCAGCGAGAGGCGUUCUCCGUGCGAUGCUGCUGCUGCUGUAGGCGUCCCCUCACCCCCGUCCUCUCCCCCAUCUGGUGUGCAGUGCAACACCAACGUCUCUUCUCCUCUGACUCGUGUUUUUUUGCAGCAGUGAUUUCUCAUUGUGUCCUCUGACUCGUUUCUUAUUGCAGCAGUGAUUUUAUUGGCCUAGUGAUUUGUUGGUGAAGCUGGCACACAGGCAAGUAUCUACUUAGCUUCGCCGUGUUCUCAGUUGCUGAUGCUUUGCUGUAUCAACUCUGGGUGGCUAGUGAUGGCAGCAUGCAAAUGAUAUCUACUUGUCUCAUCUCGCUUGGUCCAUUGGAGUACACAAGUAUGGUUGAGAUUCUCCUCAAAGUGCAGCUUCACAUCUUGAAUGCAUAUGGUGUUAGAUUGUUACUAGUAUUGGGACUGAGUGUUUUUCUACGCUAUUAAUACUAAACCUAGCUAUCGUGCAAAUGAUUCAAAUCAUCCUGAAAUGAGUACAACCGAUUCUGCUAUAGUCUAACAGAGGUUAUUGGCUUUUUCUUUUUGGUGUUGGACACACAUAAUUGCUACCAAAUUACUAAUAACUUGACUGACUAAAGAUAUUAAAUUACUUAAUUAGUGAUAUUAAAUUUCUUAACUAGUGACAUUAAACUUGCCUGACUAAAGGUAUCAAAUUUGGCCUGUUUCCUAGUGAAUUAAGGCUAUCUUUUCAGAUAGCGUACCAGACCUUUUGGCAUUUUUUGGGACAGCUUCAUUGGUAAACCAGAUUCACCUCGUCAUAUUUUUCUCAUAUUGACAGUUUCUUUGUAAAGUGAAUUUGCUUGUCUUUUUUUCCAAUCACCCUCGCUGCCUGUUUUUGCUUGUGGGAUUCCCCUGUUAAGGUAUUUGUUUUCCAAAGCUAAUAUUUAUUUAUGCUUCCAAUUCCUAAGGUUAAUUCCUCUGUUCCCAGUUUUCAAAUGUGUGCAGCGUGAAACCAAUGUUGAUGACCUCAUGGAAAACACUAGGAGAUUAUAUUUAAACUUUUCUUUUUUUGCAAAACUGCAUAUGCCUACUUUGAUGUUGAUAUCAGAAAAUUUCAAACUAUAUUGCAAUUUUUGUUUGCACAUCCCAUUGCCAAUGAUGCAUUUAUUCCUAUCUGUAUCCCACAGCUCUGAACACCAUGCCGAUAGCUGUCCGUUUCAUUUAUUUUGGCAUAUCCAUGGUUUGUUGCUUAAUUCUUAACACUAUUUUGCCUAGCUUAUUCACUUGUUUUGCCUAAUUUAUAAUAUAUAAUUAUUUUUGUAGUGCAUCGUUGGUUACCACUCCAGCUCGCGCGCCCUGCGUGGAUCAGGCAUCAACGGUCGCAAUUCUGAGGACGCCACCUCCUCUGGUGCUCUGCAUCCAUCUUCCCCACUAAGGUGUGCGUGGUGAGC